rnacentral:hammerhead_ribozyme from 1 species
ACCAUCAGACGAGACCCAAAUAGGACGAAAUGCGCAUCCUGGAU